rnacentral:rRNA from 1 species
GAUGAACGCUGGCGGCGUGUCUAAUACAUGCGAGUCGAGCGAACGGACGAGAAGCUUGCUUCUCUGAUGUUAGCGGCGGACGGGUGAGUAACACGUGGAUAACCUACCUAUAAGACUGGGAUAACUUCGGGAAACCGGAGCUAAUACCGGAUAAUAUUUUGAACCGCAUGGUUCAAAAGUGAAAGACGGUCUUGCUGUCACUUAUAGAUGGAUCCGCGCUGCAUUAGCUAGUUGGUAAGGUAACGGCUUACCAAGGCAACGAUGCAUAGCCGACCUGAGAGGGUGAUCGGCCACACUGGAACUGAGACACGGUCCAGACUCCUACGGGAGGCAGCAGUAGGGAAUCUUCCGCAAUGGGCGAAAGCCUGACGGAGCAACGCCGCGUGAGUGAUGAAGGUCUUCGGAUCGUAAAACUCUGUUAUUAGGGAAGAACAUAUGUGUAAGUAACUGUGCACAUCUUGACGGUACCUAAUCAGAAAGCCACGGCUAACUACGUG